rnacentral:ncRNA from 1 species
GUCUAAGUACAAACCUUAAUACGGUGAAACCGCGAAUGGCUCAUUAAAUCAGCUAUGGUUCCUUAGAUCGUCUCAUCCUACUCGGAUAACUGUGGAAAAUCUAGAGCUAAUACGUGCUUACAAGCCCUGACCUCACGGGAGGGGCGCAUUUAUUAGAUCAAAACCAAUCGGGGCUUGCCCCGUCUGCUUGGUGACUCUGGAUAACUUUUGUGCUGAUCGCAUGGCCUCUGCGCUGGCGACGUAUCUUUCAAGGCGGGCUUAUUUUCUAGCGCGCUUAAUUGUGUGCUAUACUUAAAUAAGCCGGCGGG